GCCCUGCGGGAAGGCCGGCCGAGGCGCCGCGCUCCGUGUGGGAGCAGCAAACAGGAAGAGCCGCAGCGCUCCGUGCCGCGCGGCCCCGCAGCUGGGCUGCAGCUUCCGGCUGGGAGCGGCGCUGUGCGGUCUGGCUGUGUAGGUGAGAAGCGGUUCUGUACAGCUCGUGCUGUAAGGCGGCUACCUGCACCGCGCGGCUUCUCCGGCGGCACUUCAGCAACAGCUGCUCCGCUAACUGAUGUCAGCGUGCUCUCUUAGAAGACAGACAGCCUCGUGAUAUUGAACUCUAACCUCAGAGUCAGUGCUCAGAGUACGAUCUCUGGGCCUUACUAGCAGAAGGAAGUCAGAACACCCGUGUUCUUUUUUCCCCAUCCCCGGUCUCUGGGAAGUAGUAUGGCUCUUUACCACACAAAUAUUUAUUUCAAAUGAACAGCUGUCUGCGACUUAAAUCAAACGAACCUUACUGUCUCCAUAGCACGUGGUAAUUCAGGCUGUAUAAAUACACACUGCAGUGCACAUACUGCCUGCAGGUGCAGGGCUCAGGGCAGCUGGUGCUGGCCCUCCCCUGCCGCCCACCUGUCUUCCAGCGCUGAUGUCCACGCUGUGUCCUGGCUCCUCUCCUUCUCCAGGAGCUCGGCCUGCACCUCAAACUUCUGCUCCAGCUUCUGCAGGCUUGAGUCCAGGUCUUGGAACCGCGUCUCCAAGGCUUGCAGCCUGCUUUCUACUCUGGAGAGUGGGAAACAAGCAUUGGUUUAGAACCUGGGCCUCAACGCGCUGUGCUUUCUGCGUGUGGUGAUGCAUUCCACUGAGCUGAUCCAGGCCAGAUACUGAGGUUCCUCCCAAGCCAACUGAGUGGGACUUCCUGGGCUUCUUUCAUCCUGGUGGUGGCUUUUGUGAAGAUAACGUUCUGUUUCAGACCCCUUUUCCACUCUUCCCUUGCUGAGAAGCAGCGGCCGUGGCUCUCGUUUGGUGCUGCUGCUGUUGCCCACCUGGAUGAUCAGACACCAUCGAGCAGUGAUGGUGCUGUUAUGUGCAGUGGAACACACGGACAGGUGCCAGCAGGGGAAGCAGGUGCCAGACUAUAAUUGAAGCCAGUGAAGCUGUCAAUCAAAGCUUUUUUGCAAGCCUCUUUAUGUACAGGCUUUGGAAAUAGAAGGUGACUCAGCGUUACCCAUGUCCCAGUUCCUUGGUCACAAUGAUUUUCUUUCUUAAAAUACAGAAGGGUUUGUCUUGCUUUUUGUCAACUACAGCCACUUGCUUCCUGUCUUUGAACCCUGUAAGUGCUGAGAUAUUUUCCCAAAUUUGGAAGUCCAUUCCCAAUCGCCCAUUUACAGCAGAACUACAGCAGAGCACAAACCAGAAUUUCCUGUUACCGACAAGCUCCUGGCAGCACUUCGUGCAGCUACCAGCCUUUGCUGAUCAAGCACUUGCACAGAAUCCUGCAGCAAGCUGCCAGGACCAGCAGCUUGAAGCUGGCAAGGAUGGUGUUCAUGAAGUGCUGCAGCCCUCUGCUCUGUUCUCUCCCUCUCCAAUAAAUAAAGGAGAAACAAGAGGAUUGCUCAUGAACUACCCUCUUCCCACAUACACACUGUAUUUGUUUACAUCCUAUUACCUGUGAAAAUGUCCAAAGUACAGAUUAUCUUGCUAACAGACCACAGCAUAAUCUUGUCUCCUCUCCCCCUGCCCCAGUCCUGUAUGCCACUUAUCCCCUAACAUAGCAUUAGCACAACCCUUUAAAGACCUGUUUAAUGUCUUGCUCAGGGAGCGCAGGGAUAUGCUGUCUUUAGCCAUCGUCCUGGAGAAAAGAAGUCAAGCAGGGGUGGGCUCCAGUCCUCUCCUGAGGCAGUCAACACCACGGAUGGGGGCUCUGACUCCUGCCGGGGGGUGACUGCACCGGGCUUUUAAUAGACUGUACAUCCAAAUAUAGCUCACAGAUACACAGACACAUGCUCCUGAACGUACUGCACAUCAAAUUACACAACUGGACCUCUGCUUCUGACGCACUGAUCUCAUCUGUCUUCAAAAAUAAAGGGAAUAAUGAGAA